UACGGAGGGUGCGAGCGUUGUCCGGAAUCACUGGGCGUAAAGGGCGCGUAGGUGGUUCGUCGCGUCGUGCGUGAAAGACCCCGGCUCAACUGGGGAGGGUCGUGCGAUACGGGCGGACUGGAGGCCAGUAGGGGGAUGCGGAAUUCCGGGUGUAGUGGUGGAAUGCGUAGAGAUCCGGAGGAACACCAGCGGCGAAGGCGGCAUCCUGGACUGGUCCUGACACUCAGGAGCGAAAGCGUGGGGAGCGAUCCGG
rnacentral:rRNA from 1 species